UACAGAGGGUGCGAGCGUUGUCCGGAAUCACUGGGCGUAAAGGGCGCGUAGGCGGCUUGCCAAGCGUGCGGUGAAAGCCCGGGGCUCAACUCCGGGUCGGCCGUGCGAACUGGCAGGCUUGAGUCUGGUAGAGGCUGAUGGAAUUCCGGGUGUAGCGGUGGAAUGCGUAGAGAUCCGGAAGAACACCGGUGGCGAAGGCGGUCAGCUGGGCCAGAACUGACGCUGAGGCGCGACAGCGUGGGGAGCAAACAGG
rnacentral:rRNA from 1 species